ensembl:lncRNA
GGGUUUUGUCCACAGUUGCCAGCCCCUUUGUGGAUUUGGCUCUGAUUCUUGCUUCUUUACUUUCUUAUUUUCUUUUCCCUCCUUCCUUGCCCCCCUCCGUCUGUCCCUUCUUUCCUGCCUGCCUUGUACACCUACAGCGUCCCUUGUUACCUGCCAGAGUGCACAUCCUGCCAGCCAUUCCAGGGCAGGAACUGAGGCCCCAGGGACAGGACUCUGCACCCGAGUCCAUGUGUCCACCUGGGGCCCCGGGGCGGGGCGAGGGUGGAGCAGAGCUGAAGCGGCGGUGGGGGUGGCUGCAUCUCUUGGGACAGCUCUGUCCUGGGAGCCCAGCCUGAGGGGAGAGACAGCCCUGGCCUGAGGGCUCUAUUAAGGGAGGAGAUACCACAGUGUUCCAAGGAGCCCCAGCCUAAGUGGUGGGGACGGGUCCAAAGCUCUACCCCAGGCCUCCUGUCCGGGAGACAGUGCUACCACCCGUCACAAUUGUUCACUAAGCCCGUUGCAUUCUUUGAUAGGAAUAUUGAUGGCUAAGAGCUGAGGGCAAGGAAGCCAGGGUAGGGUGUGUAAGCGAGUGUGGUGGCUGCCUGCACCCCUUGAGGAGACUGGAACGGGGCCCACUCCACUGUGGUUUCAUCCAAGUGGCUCUUCUGACCCCACAGUUCCCCUGCAGCCAGCUAAGUCUCCUGGGCUGGGCUGCAACCAGGCAGGACUUUUCAAGCAAUCACCUGGAAAAUGCUCUCCUGGGCCCCAUGGAGAAGGGUCUUAGGCAAAGCCCUGGAAUCUAGGUUUCAGUUGAACUCCCAAGGGGACACAGAGUCAGGAAUCAUUUCUAGUAACACGGACUACUACUCUCUCUGGGUCACAGGUGGGGAAAGCGGUCCAGGAAGUUGCUGAUGGUCGCAUCAAGUCAGGCACUGUGUCCAGACCUUGAGCAGACCAGGGGCCGUGUCCAGUCCUGAGGAUUCGGGGCCAGUGGGGAGCGGGGAACGUUCUGUACCUGGCUCUGCUCCGCCCUCUGUUGGCUGGGCCCAGACCUGCCUUGGCCUGGCUUCUCUCCGCCCAGGUGGCCCCACUAUGUGCGGCCUCUUUCCUUUUACUAAUAAAAGGAGGCAGGUGCUCAGGUGAGCCUUCGGUUUGCUUGCGGCCCUGCCCCCUGGCUGCCCUUCUGGCUCCACAGCUCAGUACAAACAGCCGAGGGUCCCAACCCACUGGUUUUGCAGCCAGGAGUUAAGCCUGCAAGAAGAAUUUGCCCCCAGCUGCGCAGAGAUGUGUGUCUGGGUGCCCGCAUUGCAGCACUGCAGCAAAGGGUGCCUGGCCUGCCUCGAGGAGACCUCUCCCUGCUCGGCUGAUGCCACGUUCUGUGUACCGGCGUGCUUUCCACGCAGCCCCAGCAGGUCUCCCUGUUUCCUUGUGGCCCCGAGGCUGACCUCCCUGAUGUGGGUCCUAAGCUUCAGCUGGGCCCACCCUGAGGCUCCUGCAAUACUUCCUCUCAUGCUGGUCUUCCUCCCGGGGACCCUUCUGGAGUUUGAUGACACGGACUUCAGUGAGGGAGAGCCCAGUGCCCCUUCCCCCUUGGCUCUGUGGCUGGGGAACCCACACCAGGCCCUCAGACCAGUCUAGAUCCACAGCCUCCUG